CGUUCUACGAACUGGGGCCCCAGGUGCUGCUCCACCCAGCGGUACUGUGUAGAAGACACAGUCUGAGUAGGGCCUGAUGGAAGCCGGAAUUCAGGGACAGGGAGUUGGGUCUAAGCCCUUGAGAGCCCCCACCCCCACCUUCUGGGUUUCUGGUGGUUUCUUUUUAAAAUCAGGAUUUAGGCAGCUCCAAAUGCGGAGUAGGGGCGGGGCAGCCACACCUUCUCACCCACACAGUGGUCGUACUUCAGCAGGGGGCUGGUGCAGAUGAAGACCUCCGUGCUGCGGAGAAGGACGUGGUUACCGCCGGGAGCCAGGAGCCCGCCCAGGACUCCGCCUGCCCCCACUCUCCUUACUCCGACACGGGGGCACACGCUGGUGCCCAAGCUGCAUCUGUGGCUGUUGAUGCUGGGCCCAUCCCUUUGAACAGUGAGCACAGAUAACAAGAGUACCUGCCGACUUGGCCCAAGAAGCUUGAUUUUCUUCAGGUGUCCCAAAGAUAUUAGACGCCAUUUUGUUCUUCCUCACAGGUUGUUCUGUUGGUUCAUCAAAACCUAAUGAAAAAUUGGAUCCACCACCUGGAGG